UGCUGGGGACCAACCAGUGCCUCAUAUUUCUGGAAACGCUGCAGCAUUCUACUUCAAUUUUAAUCUGGAUAACACCAAAGCUUUUCCUUAAAUUCACCACUGGAGUUAGCUCAUAGAUGCACUGAUUUUGUAUAUCAUCUCUCCUCCUUAAUAUCUCUCACACAGGUGCCAUUGACCUUUAGAUGGGCUGCACAGUGUGGGGUCCAGUGCCAUGGAUCUACUUCUCCAGGGACCAGGAUCUUGAGAUCUUCAGGCUGGGUUUCCAUGGAAGCAUGGAGCUGCUUUUCCUCCUGCGUAACUGCACUCAAAACAGCCCGGUUUCUCUAGAAUGGAGACUUGGGCAACUCCUUCUGGUACAGACUUGCUCACCUCAGGGAAAUGCAAAUGGAAGCAAGCUGUAGGCAGUUUCACCCCAAGUCCAUGGGUUCUCAGCUGGCUAACCCAUGAUGUCAAUCCUGUAGCAAUCUAAGGCUUGAGAAAAAUUAAUCUCUGGAAAAUUCCAAGACUACAUCUUAGGGAGCCUGGCUUUAUCUCUAUGUCUUGGAUCAUACAAGGAUAUGCUUCUAAUUUCGGACUAGAACUCAAAGAGUAUUGGCCAAUGAAUGUGUUUCCUAGAACUAUCCCAGUGUGUUCACCAUACAGAGGAAGAUUCUGAGAUUCAAGACUCAAGACUGAAGAAAAUCGUUAUUUUUAUUGUUUUAGUCUUAUGCACAAAAUGGUACCAACGAAUAAGCAGGUUUUUAGUGGGUGACUUAUAUAUAAGCAAAAAUAAACACUUUAUCUUCUAGAUCUAUUGCAGUUUUCCAGCAGCUGUAGAUUUAAGUGCAAACUUUUAGCCCACAGGAUAAGAAGAAAGCAAGUCCUGAACGUAGGCCGGCACCAGGAUUCAAGCCUCUGACUCCAAGGCAAGGGCUCAUCAUCUUGAAUCGUGCAUGAAUUUUCACAUAGCGCCAGAGGAAACUCCUUGUACUUUCUGUUGUAGGUGCUUUGCUGGAUUCGGGAUGCAGACAAGGUCCACACACUGUGGUUGGGUGACGUGUCUCUUAGGUCUCUUUUAAUCUGUAAUACCUCUUCCUCUCUUUAUAGAAUGCAUUUACUUGUUGAAAAACUUGGUCACGGGUCAUUUUUCUGUAGAGUGGAUUAUGUUCUGGAUGUAGCCAAAUGCCCUCUUGUCAAAGAUUUAUCUUCCAUGCUUCCUGCAGGUGGUUAUAUCCUCCAAGGAUUGAUUAAACUCAGGUAUUUUUUUUUUUUUGGCAAAAUCACUUCAUAUGAAUGCUGUGCAUUUCCUGUUGCACCUUCAUCACAUCAGGAAGAAACGAUACCUAGACUUCCUGCUUUUAAUGCUGUUAAGAUUGAUGAGUUAGGUGUCAUGGACCUCGGAGUUACUAAUCGUCUACAUUUCUAUUGGCAAUUUCCUCCAGAAUUCAGAAAUUGGUGGUGAGCAUGAUGGUUGGGAGUGCUGGGUUGGAGUCAGACAGCUUCUGUUUGAGUAACAGUUCUGAAAGUCACUUGUCAUUGCCACAGCUAGGUCGCUCAAGCCCUCAGACCUUUCAGGCCUGACUCAGCUUUAGGAGUGGAUACUCCACUUUUGAGUGGGACUACUGUUUGAGUGGGUUGAGUUCUGUGAGCUGGGCUUUGGCCCAGGUGCAGAAGAGUGGUAGCUGUAGUUUAGUGGCAUUGGUUUCAAGCAGAUGGAAUUUGUUUAGAUGACCUUAAAGGUCUUUCCAAAUCUGAUGUCCUAGGAUGAAUUAUCAGAAGGCCUAUAGUUUGGUUACCACAUAUUAAAGGUAAAUCUGAGGGUAGGAGCACUCAUCAUUCAGUUGUAAUAGCUGAAUAGAGAUGAUAAUUCUGCCAGAUUUGGGUCCUGUGGGCCGAGUUGAGAGGUCUGUAAAUUCACAUUCACUCUUCAAGUCCUGGUUUAUAGCAGCCUGCCAAGUAUGUCACUAAGAUGAAGACAGACGAUAAUGACUACAUUUUGGUAAUUCAUUUACUUUACUGAAAUCGGUGCUCAGUCAUGUUACAGGCAAGACUCCAUCUGGUUCCCAUCAAUGAUGGAGGGAGCACCGUGUCUGGACAGAGGGCCUGCAUCUUCGUCUAUGCAGAAAAGCUGCAUGGAUUAUCCAGCAAAUCACGGUAUAGACCACCAGCUGGGCCAGUCCAGGUCCAAGCCAGCCGGGUGACUCUCUCCUGCUGUUCAUUCACUUCUUCGUUUGACAAGUACUAUGGACACCUGCUGUGUGCCAGGCACUGCUGAGGUGCCUGUGGGGAGAUCAGGAGCUGAUGCAUAUUCCAACUGAGGGGUGGCAGUGUAACCAACAAUGGACAUAAUCCCCAGAUCAUAGAGCAAGACACGGGUGAUGCAAAAAUGGCAAAGAAAGCUUUGUGCACACUAAGAGGUUUCUUGUUUCCUGAGAAGGAUAUGGAUUGCAGUCUAAGGUAGGAUGGAAGUUGGUCCGAGAUGUGAGCCUGGCUGACAAGAUCAGGCAGGAAAUGUCUUCUUCAGAUCCCACCUGCUCAGUAGACCACCUGCUCGGCACUGAUCUGGGCCUUAGUGUAACUACCGAGCACAAGAUGACCAUUGCCACUUGGCAUUGCUCUCCUGGACGCCUGGAUCAUGGUGCUGCCCGUCCCUCUGCUGCCUCCUCUCUGUGUCCUCUCAGUGGUCUUGAGCCCCAUUCCCUCCAGGGUUGUCUUCAGGCCAUGACUUGCAUGUUGGCUCUCUCUGGGGCUCACGGUGCUUCAUUCAUUCCUAAAGGUGCUUUCUCCUCCUUACCCUGGUGUAGACUAAAAGGUUUCCUGAUCCCAUUGCUUUGCCAGGACAAUAUUGCUUCCCAGGGAAGACGCUCCUGGCACAUUUUAGGCACUUCUGGAAGAACACCAUGUCGUCAUCAUCAUCACCAUCAUCAUCAGAUCUCCCCCAAGCCCCAUCUGGGAGGGUUGCGUGGGAGCCACACGUGGACUUAGGGAGCUCUCCCGAGCCUGCACUGAUGGCUGGCCCAGCCCAGGCUUUUGUUUGCCACAGGAAGACAGCUUUGUGCAAACCCUUGUUUAACCUGGCCUUCCCUCUUUAGAAAGAGAAUGUUCACUAGAUGAAUCAUGCCUAAUGUGUUCACUGGAGCCAGAGGACUUUGGCUCCCAGGCUGUUUACUUCAGCCCAGACUUUGUCCCGUAAGUGUUCUUAGGAAAUGACAAUGAACAGAAAAUUGUCAUUGUUUUUGCUGAAAAAAAAAAAAAAAGUUGAAUAGUUUCCCUGGCCCAGGCUGGCUGGUAGCAACCUUGGCCCCAGCAUGCUCUUCAGCCCCCUACUCUCCCCAGCAGGGCCACUGUGCCCUCGUCUGUCCACCCUAUUCUGUGACCAGGUGCCCUGGUGCGCCCUUGCCCAGGGGCUUUCUGUGCACAAGAUAACGCAUGGUUUGGGUUGAUGUCUGAUGGGCUCACAUGGGCAAGGCUGUGCUGCAGCUGUGCUGGGGGCCUGGUGCUCAUGUGGGGCCCUCACCUGGUUUUGCUGUUGACUUCCUCCCACCACUGCCUACCUUGGGUGGGAGGGCACCUGGCCUUCAGGCAGGGAGGACUUGGAGAAGCAGAGGUGCUGCAGUCAGGAUCUGUAUUUGAGUUUUGGCAGCCUGGAUGAAAUCCUGCCUCUGUCACCUGCCAGCUGUGUGUGAGUGGCCAGGUCCCUUGACCCAUGCUGAGUUACCAUGCUCUUUUGGCCUAUUUCCCGCUUGUGACAUUAGAAGCAAUCUCUAAGACAUCAUGGAGUGGACAUUGAGCUUGCCCUCCCGCCUGCACAGAAAGCAGGUCCUGAGGCAGCUUCCUGCAGCCCCGGGGACCCUGCAACAUCUUUGAGGCUCGGAGGUCUCGGUGUCUGACUCCGGCUCAAGUGCAGCUGCAGCUCUAGAGGAAGCAAUCCAUACGACAGGGAAGCGAGGAGGCGGGGGUCGCGUCCGGCAUGCCCACUGCAGGGGCUGGGAGAGCCACCACAGCAGUAGUGACAGAGCCAGGGAACAAUGCCAUCCUGUGAUGAGCAGUCCUGUCUUUAACCCAAAUGAUGUGUCUGCAGAAACUGGUUGCAUUUGCUACUUUGACAGGUGGACAAUGUUUUAGUGUCUUAAUUAGCAUGUUGGGUAAUUGCUGCCAUUAAUCUUGUUCUUUUUUUCCAUGUUCAUUGGCCAUUUUGACUUCUCUAUACCCAUCUUCCUUAUUGAAAAACAUGAUAGGAAACUUUUAGUUAUUAAAUUAUGAAGACCUAAUGCAUGGCAUGAUGACUAUUGUUAAUACUACUGCAUUAUGUAUUUGAAAUUUGCUAAUAGUGUAGAUUUCAAGUAUUCUUAUAAAAAUGUGGUGAUGGAUAUGGUGAUUAGCUUGAUCCUGAUAAUCUUACAAUGCAUGUGUAUAUCAAAACAUCAUCUUGUACACCUUAAAUACUCAACUUUUCUUUGUCAGUUAUACUUCAAUAAAGCUUGGAAAACACACACACACGCAUUCACACACACAAAACAGACAACUGCAGAAUUCCUCUGGUGGGCCUGGGCUGAGUCCUGGGGCUGUUUGUGCUCCUGGCCCUCUCUCUAUCCUCAGAUGGUGUGGUGCUGCUUCCCUCUGCCCUCCUCCUCUCUCUAAAGCCCUGUCCAUCUGGCUCAUACUCUUAGACUAGAGUGGAAACUGUGCCCUCCAAAUCCAUAGGAGUCUUGCCCUGUGUCUCCUCCCGACCCCAUGGUGGGUGGGAGCAGUCUCUCUGCCCUUCUGCUCAUCCACUCUUGUCUCCGUCUCUCCUGGUCAUUCCUGCUGCCCACCAUUCUCUCCUGGGCUCAGUGUGCUUUCUGCACAUUUCCCCACAUGUGUCCUUCACAGCCCCUCUGUGAAUUCUGCAUGUGUCCCCUGAGUGGACUCUGUAGUCCCUGCUCACCCCACACUCCCUCGCCCUGUGUCCUGAGCAUAGAUCUGCAGGUUACAGUGGCUGGUGAGCAUCUCCACAUUGUGACAUUCUACUGGGACCUGGAGCAUCUGCCCCUGUCAACAGCCUCAGCACAGAAUCCCUGGCCAUCCAGCUCCGAUGGGGACAUGGAACCUGCCUCUCCUUCCUGCCAGUCUCUUAGUUGUCUGUGCCUUCACCCUGUAGUGGUCUAUUCAAUCUGUAAGUCAAGCCGUUCUUGUUUCCCUAUCUGUGGAGUCAUUAAUUCAAUUCCCGCGAGCUCAGUGGCUGCGGUUUGAUCAUUCCCAUCCAUUCCUGGGCUUCUUCAGCCUUGUCCUGCACUGCCUUAUUUCUUACAAGAUGGUAGCAUCAUGGGGAGAAUGGAAUUCCUAGCUUUGUUUUUCUCCUUUCAAGCCACCAUGAUGGUCCCCAACACAGCUCCAAUCCUACCUCUCACAUAUUCAAAAGCGUUAACAUCUCCUAACUCACCCUGAUUGUUUUCACAUGUAACCCAAAGUCCCUGCACUCUGUCGCCUACUGACUUUCCAGCCUUUUUGGGAUGAUCUCUCGGUACAGCCCUUGGAAUUCUCUCAUUGUCUCUCUUCUCCAGCGUCUCAACAGCGUUUGCCAUUGCUCACUGUUCCCUCCUCCUGACACACCCUCUUGGCCUCCAGGCCACAUUCUCUCUCCUGGUUCUCCCCGCACUGGACACAGCUAUGAGGCUCAUUGUCCAUGGAGGGCAAUCGUGACUCAGGCCCUGGCUGUUGCUCUUUCUUACGUGGAGCUCCCUCUGGCUGCCUCAUUUAGGACUUUGGAUUUGUGAGCACCUGUGUGAAGCUGACACAGACAUUGAAAUAUCUUUCUAGAGCUUUGUUCUCAGCUCCAGAAACACACAGCCAACUGUCUUCCUGAAGCUCCCAUGUAGAUGGCACCUGGGUCUUGCCGUAAUAAAAAUGGAACCUGAAUCUGGAGGUCUAAGUCACAUCUUGCUCUCAUGCUCCUCCUGUUAGGGUAUCACUGUGGAGACAACAAACCCUCAUCUACUCCAGAUGCAGUCUGUCUCCUCUGAUUCUGCCUAUCAGUGAUUUCAGACACAUCUGUCUUUAUCCACAGCCAGUGUCUCAGUCGGAGCCGCAGCAGCCCUCUCCUGCAUGGUGGAAAUGGCCAGGAGGCCUCUCGGCGCUGGUCCUGUUACUUGCAAGCAUCUCUCUGAACUGCAUCUGGCCAGUGUGGCCUUUUUUAAAGCUUCAUUGUGCCGCUGUCCUGCCUAAAUCCUUCAAUGGCUCUACAUUCUUCUUUACAUGCUUUCUUUUUUUUUUUCAGAACAAAGACUAUAUCCUUACCCGGCCCACAGCCCUCCCAAUUCCGGCCACAACCUCUCAUGAGGCUGAUCUCACCAUGAGCCCCUCUUCUAGGUGUCUGCAUGUUGCUCUGUUUGCCCCCAGGACCAUCCACUGCCUCUUUGGUCUGUUGGCAUGUACUUGUCCUCCAGACCUUAGUUCAAAGGUGAGCUCCUCACAGAAGCUUUGCUGGAGGUCCCAGGAGCAGGGAAUGUGUGUGUUCUCUCCUUUGAGGCACCUCCCACAGUGUUCAUUUGCAUGGCUUGUGUGAUUAUUUGGUGGAUGACAGUUUUCCAAGUGCUGUGGGGGGUCGCACCUCCUUCUCCUGAACCACUAGUUGGGGGAAUAAAUGUCCCUUCUUCCAGCAUGGUUUGACAUCACACAGACACAGUUUGGUGGUCUUUAGCACAAGUCACUGGGCUUUGAUAAACACCCUUCACCAUGAGGGAAAUGAGAGUCAGAUGACUUAAGGAUCGCCCCAAAUCAGGUGGAAAAUCUGGACGCUCCUGGUCGCAGGCCAGCAGGUCUUGGUGCCUUCAGAUCCCUAGAGUAUCCUAAUUUGGCUACAGUUUUCUGUCUGCAGAAAGGCCCUGAAGGGAAGACGCCAGGCUGGAGCAAGAGUGACUCAUCCUGGGACCUCAUUGUGCCUGAUUCACCCGGAGGAAGCCUUGCAUGGACACCGCUAGCCUCUGGAGAGAUUUCAGAUCUUUGGGAACAGAGUAGGGUUCCUGUCUUUGUAAUGAGCGAGUUACUGGCUCUCUUCUGCCCUGUUUGCCACCUUCCCUCUGUUUCUGUGGCUUCUUUUUUGGCAGGCCCUGAGCCUGGUGGACCCCAUCACGACUUCUUUCUGUGAGUCUGAUCUGUCCUGCAUCCUGACUGCAGCUGUACCUGGCCCCAGAGCCCCACCUCCUAGCUGGCAGGCAGGAUUCCUCCCCUAACCCAUUAGGGCCUCGCCUCUGGAGGCAAUUACUGCCUGGCCUGUGAAAAUAUAUAAGGAGAAUUGAAGAGCGAUCAUAUUACAUCCUUCAUAUUUUGCCAGCAAUAAAUCCAGUUCCUUUCCUCUCAGGUGGACUCUCAACUCUAUAAAUUAAGAGUCUACUUCUAAGGAGGAAGAUUUCACAGGGCCCAAGGUUCUGUAUGACCUGCUCGCAUUUCAAGGGAUGACCUAAAAGCUGGGGGAUUUCAGAACUGCAGGAAGUCAUGCCGAGAGAUUGGUGGCUUUAGGAUCUGUGUCCCACUCACAGCCCUCCCACCUCUCCUGUGCUUCCUGCCAGCUUGGACCUCAGGACCUCUCUAGAUGCAUUUAGGACUGUUUAGCAGGCAGGUGAUGGGGAAGCACCCACAAGGAUAGAGUUGGAAAUAAGAAACAAGCUAAAGCCAGGGCUUUGGGAAAUGGAGCUCACAUCCCCAAAACAUAGCAUGCAGAACAAUGUUUAUGAAUCUUAUUGGGCAUAAGACUCACCUGGAAGAGAUAAAAAUGCAGAUUUCAAGGCCUCUCCCCAGAGAGUCUGCCUGAGUCUCAGGACCUGUGCUCUGGCCUUGGCUGUCUGACCUUCCCCAUCCCUGGAUUCUGCUUUUCUCUUAAUCGAGUCCCCCAUAAUCUUUCCUGGUGAUGUGUAUCACGUUGGGGUCACCAGCUGAGAUGCUGAUCAUCACCUGUGGAGGUCUGUCCUGCAGAUCCUGACACAGCGACAAAUGAAUGAAAUAUACUCUCACACACCAGAGUACAGGGAAUUCAAGUAGGCUAGGGAGGUCAUCAGCUGCUCUCACAGGGUGAUUGCAGCUAACUGACCAUGACUCUCUGUUCCUCCUCACAUUUAUUCAGCAUAGAUUUAAUAACAGAGGUUCUAAGUCAAUAUGCUUGUGGAUAAUUAACAUGGUUAAAAUAGUGGUUUUAUGAAUGAUGAAAGGUCUUGGUUCCAGGGCCCAGAAUAAACACCAUUACUGGGUAAUUUCCCUUUGACCUCCCAUGAGAGGACCAUCCAACACAAAGUUUACAUGAGUAAAGAGAGUAGAGACAAAAGAAGUGAGGUAAAAGACUUAACUGGGGAAGCUUUUAUUAUCCUAAUCUUCACUUCUAUGACUUACUGCUCUAAUGAAAGAACUGAGCCUGUUCGUUAAAACAGGUUGUGGGGGUGGACGCUCAGUGGCAUCCCCUCCCUUUUGUGUUCAUUCCGUCAGUGGACCUGCAGCUGAGGGUGCCCUUAGGUAGGCCAGGCAGAGACUCCGGUCCCUGACCAGGCAUUCUAGCACCUCUCCUUGGAUGUUACCCAGCUCAGAGCCCUGGGCAAGCUGUGGACAGAAGCUUGGUCUCCUGGGAGGAGGCCCCAUAGUGAGCCUCUUCUCACGGACCAUAGAUCCUGGGUGGUGGUCCUGGUGGGGAGCACCAAUUUGAGGGGUCAGGAAACAGUAUGUGUUGGGGCCUUCCCAUUUGAGGACACAGAUUCACCCUAUUUUGUUUGUUUCAUGGAUAGAGUGUCUGGAGACCCAGCGUGUCAAAGCACAGGGCACAGACCUCACCCUGAGUCAGGCAGAGCCCAUGACAGCACUCCUGGGAUGAGAGGUGGAGAGCGCAGAAGCCCACCCCAGCCUGCAGUGGCUGAGGACACUGGGUUUGGCACAGACAUGGCUCCAGAAUGGAUCUCUGGUGUGUGUAGGAGGAGGAGGUGAAGGAGUGGGGGGCUGACUUUGCCUCACCUCUGCAGGAGGCUCAGCCGGCUCCUGGCUGGUAUUAAUGUGACACAGGCAAGGAGCACUUCCAUCAAUUGCUGAUGUGUACAGGGGCAGUGGUAUUUGCUCAGCCACCUUCUACUCCCUGUAAGGACAAGGCUCUUGGUGGUCACACUCGGAUGGGCGUCAGACUCACCUGGCAGCGCUGAGAAAUCCCUGGAGUCCCAUCCACUCUGAGGACCCUGGGGCUUGGUGCUCCUUAUGAUCCUCCCAGGUGACUUGGACACACAUCAAAGUCUGAGAACCACUGGCUGGACGACAUGGAGUGUGUCAGGACAGGAUGGUUCCCUGUGUGGACAGAAUUGUUAAUAGGCCAGCGGGAGGAGCCAUGGACCCCAGUCACAAUGUCUCUGUAAGGCCUGACCCAGAGUUUUCCACCCUGGUUGCCUGUUAAAAUCAGCUGAGGAGUUUAAAGAAGAUGCCUGACCUCUCCCCAGAUAGUCUGCUUUCAUUGGUGUGCAGUGGGGGGCCAGGCCUGGGUCCUGCUGAAGCUCUCUGAGUCUGUUGAAUGUGCUGUCCUGGCUAAUGAGAACUCUCAACCCACAUGGACACUUGUUUUUAUAUUGGUUUUAGACUCUGUCUUUGCUCACAGGGGAUGCUUGCAAAGACUACUCAGGAUUGCUAAGCCCACAUUUUUAGAUUGAGAACCAGAAAUCUUAAGAAUGGUGACCAUGUUCCAUCCACGUGUAUUGGAAAAAGGGUCUGUCAUGGUUGGAAUAGGAUGUUUCUUACCCAUUGGAUUUUGCUUUCAGGUCAAUGCCAUUAUACACACACAGAGACACACAAACACACACACACACAGCAGAGUGGGAGGCUGAUUUGCGUAAAGGGACUAACUUCUGCAGAGCCUUGUCAAAGGGCUGAGAGCAUUCACCUUCCUUAGGGAGAGGGUGGUGCGUGGGGUGGCUUGACUCAUUUUAUUUUUGUCGCCCUCUGACUUGGGGGUGACUUCUUCCCCAGGUCUGUGCCUAAAGGACCUGGGGAAGAUGCAUUUGGGAGCCACGGUCACACAGAGAGCUGCUGUUGUCAGAAACAAUCUCAGGCCUUUGCAACCUGCUAUUGUGCAUGUUCAUUCCCAAGGGCUCAGCCCCCCAGGAGUCGUAGGAGAACAAAGGCAGCAGUGCUUGCCAUGCGAGGCAAACGUGCUUCAAGACCACAGAGGAUGGGGAUCUCCGCGGGGACCACCUGGAGCUGCCAACUGCCUGGCCCCACUGGAGACUCGGAGCUCUGCACACGCAACUGGCCUGCCCUGACCUGCCCCUGGGGCCACGCCCUCAGCAUUUCCACUCAAGUGGACUCCCUUCCUUUACUGGCCUCAGAAUUGAGAGGAGAGGUGCAAGUCUAAACAGGGAGCAGGAAGACAACAUCCCAACGUCACCUAGUGACAGGGAGGGCUGUGCCACCAGGCAUGGUGGGCACAGAGCCUACAUUGGCCGAGCCCGCAGCGGGGUGCCCACGGGUGAAGUUCUGCUCAUAUGGCCUUAUCUUUUCACACAAAGGUCCUGUGGGUACAUGGCAAUUUCCAUAAAUGACAGCUCAGGAGGAUGGGAGAGUAGAGUCCAGCUUUAACUUAGCUUAAAAUAAUUAAACCAAACACACCAAAUGCACACAAAAAACGUGCACUUGCUCCAAAUAGUCCCCAUUCCUGAGAUGUUCUUGGAUGGUACAGGCUGCCUGGCAGAAUGUGACAUGGUGACAAGGGAUGCUCUGGAGAAAUCCAAGCCAUACCAGCUUCCACCCGGAUGCUGUUUCAGUGUUCACCACCCGGGGACAGUGGCUGGAAUACAGGGGCAGUGGCAAGGGCACCUGACUUCCCUGGGCUCUGCUGCCUCCACAUUUGCAGCCUCAGAGCAGAGAACUGCCUGCCUUCCACUCUGCCCUGCCUGGAGAGCUGCGGCUGAGACAGCUGCUGAGCCUCACCAAGCACCCCCUUCUCAGGCCACCAAUGGGCUGAGAAUGUUUUCUGAGAAUGUUUUCUGGAUUAACAAUUAUUUUUAGAUACCAUUUCUUUUUCAUGCUUUCAUAUAAAGCAAGACCAUGUCAUUAUAACAAUCUGCUACUGAAAAUGUUUCUCACAAAGGUAUCAGCCAGUGAAUAUUUUCUCCUGAAACAAGAAUAUGUGUUGAAUAAAUAUAGAAUGAAGUUUAAUUUAUGUUAGAUUUUUAUAAAGUAUGUAUCUCUUCAAAUCCACAUGUGUCCAUGUUAUUACUGCAGAAUCUCAAAUCAUUAAGAAAAAAUUACAAACUCCAUUUAUGUAAACAUAUUCUAACACAGUCCAACUUGUUUUGUUAAAGUCCUAUUUGAUAUAGAAGGGGGACUAUUUUCAGGGUUCACCACCCACCUACUCUUUAAAGACAAAUAUUACUCAAAUAUUAAUGUUCUCCACCAGGUAGGCUAAGAAGAGCACAACUACAAAGUCUUUACUUUCAGUAUUCCAUGUCAAUUAUCUUAUUUAAUGAGUUUAAAUUAAUAACGGUUUAAUUUAAGCAUUCUCUUUUUACCAUUUUAGUAUAAACAAACAUGACCAUUGUUGGUUCUGAACAUUUCUUGGCCAGAGAAGUCAACAUUUCUUGACAUCCAGCUCUCCUGAGCUGCUGUAUUCCAAAUUAAAAAGGAAGGAUUUUAAAACAGGAUUCCAAAGAAAUUCUAUGCUUCUUUUUUUCUAUUUGAGUAAUUGCUAAUAAGAUUAGAUUAGUCAAUGGUUAGACCUGAGACCAAAUGGCAGUGAGGCUUAUUUGAGCUCAAUCUGGAUGUUUUAGGCUCACGCACGGCAUCCCCAGCCUGGUGAGAGGUGAACUUCUCUUUGCCACGAACGCAUCCUCAGAGGUGGAGGUUAUAAUCAGGUCACUCAGUAAAUGUCCAGCACCUCCUUGGUGCCAGGCUCACCAUGCUGAGUCCUGGGGCUGCAGCCCUGAAUGAGAAUGCUGGGUUCCUGGCAUCUCAGUACCUGCAGAACCAUGCAGGAGGUGGAGAGAGCAAACGCAGAGCGGGUGAGUCACGGUGGGGCAGGAGAGUCAAGUGGUGCAGCCACAGAGGAGCAGACAAGGACUUGUUUAGACAGGGCUGUCAAAAAGACCUUGUUAAGGAGGUGGGCCUGGAACCAGUCAUAACUGAGUGUGAAAUCCCAGAGCUGAAAGUAACCUCAGGAGUCAUAGGGUGUAACUACACUGGUCACAGAUGCAGGGAGGUGCAGGACCAGAACAGAACCUCCUGUGGGAGAGGCAGAGCCACCUCAGGACCCAGGAGUCUGGGCUCCCAGUGCCAUCCUGCCUUUUCCAGGAAGACUCGCCUAUGGGUUCUACUGUAUAAGGUAGAUUCUGAGACCGAAGGACCUCUCCAAUUCCUAGAUAGUGGAAUUCUGAAACUGAGAGCAAGGGGCAUUUGCCACACAUGGCAAAUUUACCAGGUCAUGAAUCCUGUGAUAGACUGAGUUUUCUGGAUUAACAAAUUACAUCGAUUCCUAGUCAGAUGGAUACCAAACCAUCUUGACUUUCUACUGCAUUGACUCAGCCAAGAAAUGAGCUCACCUCCUGAGAGGUGGGUGGAGGCCUGCCAGAGGUUUAUAGAAACCUUCUGAGGAGCUGCUCUGCUAAGGGUGAGCUUGGCGCUCCUUGCAUCCCUGGGGCCUUCCCUCUGAAGAACACAUUGCUGGAGAGGAGCCCUUGCUUUUAGUUCUCAGCUCUCAAGAGUAGGCGCUUUCCUCUGAGCCUGGAGUCUUGUCUUUGCCAAUAAGGCCACUUAUGGAGGCUUGGAAGUUGUGUGGAUCUGGCUGGAGCAGCUGGUGUAGAGAAAACCCCCACCAUCCAGGAGCCCUGGCUCCAGCAAUAGUAGAGUGAAGGGUGAGGGGCAGUGAGAGGACCCCAGCCAUCUUAGCUGAACUGCACCGAGGCUUCCUGCAGAACUGGGCUCCUCUUGCUAAGCUUGGGCUCCUUUCCACGUGUUCAAGGCUCUCCUUGGAGUCAUGCCAUCCAAUUAUGUGGCACUUGUGGGGCUGAGCUCAGGUCUGGAGUCUGCAGAGUUCAAGACGCCUUCACAUGGGGUAGAGUCUAGAUGUGGCAUAAGGGACAGCUCACGCAUGAGGUGCAUUUGACCUUGAGAAGAGACCCAGAGGGGAGGAGGCUAGUCCAGUGCUGGGAGGACAGUCCUAUGGAGCAUUAGGAAUAUCAGCAGGGUAAGUUUCAGACUCUGGUUCCUACAAGACUAGGCAACUUCGGUCGUGUCCUGCUCAGAGGAGGCAUCUCACACCGGCUGGUCUUGUGGAUAAUCGCACGACUGGUCAUGAGAAAUGCUACGGUGUGGCCUGUCACAGGAGCCGACGUCACACAUAUUUAAGGCUGACACGCAUCUGGAGCUUGGAUAGGGCUGUGCUUACGUCUGCCUUUCACAGAAGAGCAGAAACGGAGAGAUGAGAGGCCAGGGUGGGUCUGAGGCUGUUCUCCAGUCACUUCAGGCUUGGCUCGCAGCCCGACUUCCUGCCCUACAGCCUCCUGCCCCUGCCGCCAGAACGGCUGAGCCUGCUGAUGACAAAGCCACAGCUCACAGGCUGACAAUUUUGUCUGGACUUCUAUCAAGGCCGGGACUGCAGUCAAUAGCACAUGCAGGAAAUUUUAAAAGAUCAAGAGCAGCUAACAACAAAAUCCACUCUGGGAUGUUUUUAACCAAACAAUCGAGGAUUCAGUGCUUUCCGGGGGUGAGGACCAAAGCAGAGCAGGACCGGCGGCCAGCAUCACCUCUUCCAUCUUCCGUCUGUCCUGAGCCACGAAGGACAGCCUAAAAAUAGUGCCUGGACCUCACACCAUCAGUGCUUUUGUUACUUACCCUCUUUGGUCUUUUGAAAAACAUAUUUAUCGGGACUGAGAGUCUUCCAUCAUUUGUAUUUAUAGAGUUCUUUUUUUCUGAAGUUGUGAACGUGCCUAUUCUCAUUUCUGGGAAGUCAGUGGCAGGACUUUGGUGGUGAGGGGAACGUGGCUUCCACUGGGUUUUGGAGGGAGGUGGUGGAAGAGUGAGGUGAGAGCACCAGGCAUCUGGGGUUGGAGCCCGUGUGGGCUCAGUGGCUCUCUGACUCUUCCUAAGAAAGAACAGUGCCCUCCUUGCCCUUCUCUACCCAAAGCCCCCCCAGGCUUCUCUGAAUCACACCUUUCCUAGGAGGCCUUCUGGGAAGCUGAGCCAGGUCCAUGGUGCCUCUUGCUCCUCCUUCAAGUCACACUCACAGGUGCCUAUCUCUGGCACGUCUCGGGAGGGCAGGGGCCGAGCCUCUGCUCUGUUCCAGAUGCCCACAGCCCCUGGUUGACACAGUCUGCAAGCUUGAGUGGAGGGGGCGCCUAGUCCCCAGCACUAAACGGCAAUUCAGACCUAAAUCCCAAAGGAGACAGCCGCCAAGGGCAGCUGACCCACAGCCCUCGCAGACUGCAAGCUGUGGCUUUCGAGGCCAGCUUUCUCCUUGCCGGCUUUCCUGUGGGCUCUGGCCAGUCUUGUCAUUUUGCUAUGUUUCAGUUCAUUCAUCUGAAUUGUGGUAAGAUAUUGCACAGAGAAUUGUGAGUGGUUACAAAGAGACCCAGAGAAGUUGUCUCCCAAAACUGGAAGUUCCAUGGACCUGGAAUAACCAUGCUGUGCCCAUCUUCCUCAUGGAGCGACAGAGUGAAAAGCCACGGCUGAGUGGGAUUGGCCCAUCAUUGGUACUGGCUUCAGAACACUGACCACAGCCAGGGGAGGGUGGCUGGCCCAGGAGGCAGGUCACACCUGGCUCUACACACUCCCAGCUUUCCUUUAGGAAAAGCCCGUGGCCCGGUGGGUAGAAAUCAAGUGUGACUUGGAUGGGUCACCUGAAGCAGAGGAUCCAAUCUCAGUCCCAGGCGCCUCCACUUCCUGGUGCUGGACAACUGCAUUGCCCCAGGCGCCCCUAGCAGAUGAGUGUCCAGCUGUGCAGGCCGCAGCCAGGUGACUCGGGUGUCUGUGAUCUGCUCUCACUUUCUGAGCUGAUCCCCACAUGGCUGCGAAGACCUCGCCCCACGGCCCAUGCAUCCCGCUUGCUGAUGCCGCUUCCCUAGUGGUGGCAUGGAAAUCAUGAAAGGCUAGGUGAACAUUUCCUGUGGGAGACGGAGUUGCAGGCAUUCUCAGAAAAGGAGGGCACUUUGGAAAGGGCUGGAGAUGAAACUGCUAAGUGGGAUGGAAAGCCAGUCUCCACAGAGACGCGGGAGGGAUGUCAGCAUGGAGGAGAGAAGGGAUCAGGCCCGCUCCCGACACCACAGGCUGCCAAGAGGCCGGACACAGGGCAGAAUAAGGAAACGCUCGUGUGGGCAUUGGGGUUUGUCCUCACUUGCUUCAUGCUGCUGCUUCCCACCUUAAUUGCUUCAUAAAUCUUGAACAAUUUAUGAACCUCCCUGAGCCCCAGUUUUGUCAUCCGUAAGAUGGCUGUUAAAUUACAUACCUCUCCAGCAAUAAGCAGAUUUAAUGAGAAAAAACAUAUAAAGAAUAACAACAAAUAUCAUAAAACACCUUGGAGUAUUUUUAAGGAAAAUCAGUGUGAUUGCAAUCAAGAAAAUUCCAAAACUUUACUGGCAUAUAAAAUGCACACAAAAAAAUCACAUACACAUUUGAACAAUAUCAUGUUCCUGAAUAAGAAAAUGACUGUUGUGGAAAUAUCAGUUGCUCCCAGAUUAAUGCACAAAUUUAGUGUAGGUCAUUUCAAUAUCCUUGUGGCUAUUUUAGAAACAACCAAUUCUGAAGUUACUGUGAAAAUAAUUAUGUGAGUGUUUAACAUAGAUCUUUGAAUAAAAAGAUUGGGUUUUAUCAUUGUUAAACAAUGUUAUCGGGAUA